rnacentral:lncRNA from 1 species
GAAAGGGGGGUCUCUGAGCCAAGCGCAGGAAAGCGCCCAAAUAUGAAAACAUAAACGCCCUGGAGGAUGUCCGGAUGAGACCAGAGAAAGGGAGAAGCGCUGCUGUGGGCCGUUGGGUCCGCCUCUCCCGGGUGCGACACCGAUAGCUUGAUGCUGCGGUUUGGCCGUGAUGCAUCUCUCCUACAGCUGCGCUUGACAGCUUCACUCCGUCUCCGACUCUUGGUGUUAGAGCCACAUGCGUCACCGCAGGACGAAGCGGACACUGCUGUUUAAGCGAUGGACCCAUCAAAGGACCUAAAGGCCCUAAAGCGCACGGACACCGGGACCCGUAACCAUGAGGAUGUAGAGGUUUUGCCAUUGCACCCUUGGGAAUGUCAUUAACUUCGACUGCUGCAUUUAAUGGUUAAAAUCUAAUUCAACCGCACGCUUGGUCGCUUUGCGUAAAAGCUGUUUUCAGCUAACUCGGAAAGCGACUACAGAGCUCCUGGCCGAAAGGGCUGCGAUCUUCUUAAUCCGGGACCUGGUUGAGAGAGCAGAGACCUGAAGAACCUGAGCAGGAUGAGACCAAGAGAAGGGCUGUGAUUUAAGCAAACCUGUCAUUCCGCAGUUCAGUGCUGCGCAGGAGAAGCGCAUCACAAGAAGUGUAAUUUAAUACGCGCAAUGUGGUAAAAGUCUCCGACGCGUUCGCAGCCCAGGGGCACAGAAAGGAAAAAAAAAACGAGUGUCUGUGAGCAGUGGCAGAUUGGCUGCGGAGGCGUCACCGGGUUCUGCGAGGCGCUGUGAUUAAUGGCAGCAGCACGGUUACCUGCGAGCAGCGUGGGGUCCGGACACGGAACACGCGUCGCGAUUUCUGCCACGGUCCCCUGCUCUCCGGCGCACACUCCAUCUUGCAUGAGAGCUAUUUCCGUCGCUCAGGGAGACCGCAGCGCAUCACGCCGCGGAUGACAGCUUCUCGGCAGCAGUGGUGGGGCCAAGGCGGAGGGGCUGGAGGAGGGACUGGCGGAGCGCGAGUACAGGGCUGUGUCCUAAUUACCACACUAAUAAAUCCUGGCCCCGGCACAGGAGCGGCUGUGCGUGGCCCACAGGAAUGUUCCGGAAACGCUGCAAGAGAAUUGCAUUCGAACGGACAAAGAGAGCGCGCUCUGCACUAAAAUAACACUGUUCCAGAUGACAGGAGCCACAAGGCUCGGAGGGAAUGAGGAAAGAGCGAGACGGGCGCUUGAAUCUUAAUGAGCGACUUCAAAAGGUCCUAUGCGAGUGGGGGGGGGGGGGGGGGGGAUAGACAGACAAGGUCAUUCCCUAAAACCCACCCCAAUCCGAGCCGAAGACUCCCACACCUGCACGGCGCCAUCCGAACCGGGGGCCUUUGGGAAUUUCCACACCUGGAAGGUUCAGCUCCUCUCCUUCCCUCCAGAUGCCUCGCUUGCUGAGACUAGAUAGACUGGUCGGGGCUGGAACUCAGACACAGGUUCCUCCCCCUCCGCUUACCGCUAUCGCCGCCAGUGGGGCUUAAUUACGUCGAUACAAAUUAAAGUGGCUCUCAAACAAUUACACCGAUCCAUUCCGAGCAAGAUUCCGAACAACGUUACCGAAUCACAGCGUGGCCACAGACUUCACGUGGCACCAUUUAGUUCACGUUACUGCACUGUUAUGCUGAGUGACAGAGGGGCAGGUAAAGCACUUCAUUACCGUUCACUAUAAAAGCCUUUGAUCUGCCCCAAGCCACCCGGCACUUUGUUUUGUCCUCCAUGUCUAAUUUGGCUGCCGCUUAGUCUUAAGGUUUCUGGAAGUUUCUAACGGGAGAGCAGAGCAUGCGUUUCAGAGGUGAGCUACAAGGCUAAGGACGGAGGCAGAUCCACUUCUCCUUGCAACCAGAGAAGCAGCAUCUGCUCUAAGGGACACAGAGACCAGAAACAGCGCGGGGAAGUGAGAAAGGCUGGCGGAACCACGCCGAGAGCAGAGGGACGCCGCAGAACCGCCAGUCUGCGACUCGCUUGAGCUGCGCUACGAAUAAAGAUGCUGCAAACCACUGGGACGGUUCUACU